CAGUAGCCGCGGUAAUACGGAGGAUCCGAGCGUUAUCCGGAAUUAUUGGGUUUAAAGGGUGCGUAGGCGGAUAGAUAAGUCAGUGGUGAAAGACGGUGGCUCAACCAUCGCAGUGCCGUUGAUACUGUUUAUCUUGAAUAUGGAUGAGGUAGGCGGAAUGUGGCAAGUAGCGGUGAAAUGCAUAGAUAUGCCACAGAACACCGAUUGCGAAGGCAGCUUACCAAGGCAAAAUUGACGCUGAGGCACGAAAGCGUGGGGAUCGAACAGGAUUAGAGACCCCCGUAGUCCCUGUCUCUUAUAC
rnacentral:rRNA from 1 species